AUUGAACGCUGGCGGCAUGCUUUACACAUGCAAGUCGAACGGUAACAGGCCGCAAGGUGCUGACGAGUGGCGAACGGGUGAGUAAUGCAUCGGAACGUGCCCAGUCGUGGGGGAUAACGCAGCGAAAGCUGUGCUAAUACCGCAUACGAUCUAUGGAUGAAAGCGGGGGACCGUAAGGCCUCGCGCGAUUGGAGCGGCCGAUGUCAGAUUAGGUAGUUGGUGGGGUAAAGGCUCACCAAGCCAACGAUCUGUAGCUGGUCUGAGAGGACGACCAGCCACACUGGGACUGAGACACGGCCCAGACUCCUACGGGAGGCAGCAGUGGGGAAUUUUGGACAAUGGGCGCAAGCCUGAUCCAGCAAUGCCGCGUGCAGGAAGAAGGCCUUCGGGUUGCAAACUGCUUUUGUACGGAACGAAAAGGUUUGGGUUAAUACCCUGGGCCGAUGACGGUACCGUAAGAAUAAGCACCGGCUAACUACGUGCCAGCCGCCGCGGUAAAAC
rnacentral:rRNA from 1 species